CUUCGGGCGGAAGAUGAUUAACUUAGCGGCGGAUGGGUGAGUAACGCGUGGGCAACCUGCCUCGAAGACCGGGAUAACAGUUCGAAAGGGCUGCUAAUACCGGAUGUGGUCAAGUGUCAGCAUGGGCAUUUGAUUAAAGGGGAAACCCGUUUCGAGAUGGGCCCGCGUCCUAUCAGCUAGUUGGUGAGGUAAAGGCUCACCAAGGCAAUGACGGGUAGCCGGCCUGAGAGGGUGACCGGCCACACUGGAACUGAGACACGGUCCAGACUCCUACGGGGGGCAGCAGUGGGGAAUCUUCCACAAUGGGCGAAAGCCUGAUGGAGCGACGCCGCGUGAGCGAAGAAGGCCUUCGGGUUGUAAAGCUCUGUCUGGAGGGACGAAGAAAGUGACGGUACCUCCGGAGGAAGCCACGGCUAACUACGUGCCAGCAGCCGCGGUAAUACGUAGGUGGCGAGCGUUGUCCGGAAUC
rnacentral:rRNA from 1 species